rnacentral:rRNA from 1 species
GAUGAACGCUGGCGGCGUGCCUAAUACAUGCAAGUCGAGCGAACGGACGAGAAGCUUGCUUCUCUGAUGUUAGCGGCGGACGGGUGAGUAACACGUGGAUAACCUACCUAUAAGACUGGGAUAACUUCGGGAAACCGGAGCUAAUACCGGAUAAUAUUUUGAACCGCAUGGUUCAAAAGUGAAAGACGGUCUUGCUGUCCCUUAUAGAUGGAUCCGCGCUGCAUUAGCUAGUUGGUAAGGUAACGGCUUACCAAGGCAACGAUGCAUAGCCGACCUGAGAGGGUGAUCAGCCACACUGGAACUGAGACACGGUCCAGACUCCUACGGGAGGCAGCAGUAGGGAAUCUUCCGCAAUGGGCGAAAGCCUGACGGAGCAACGCCGCGUGAGUGAUGAAGGUCUUCGGAUCGUAAAACUCUGUUAUUAGGGAAGAACAGAUGUGUAAGUAACUGUGCACAUCUUGACGGUACCUAAUCGGAAAGCCACGGCUAACUACGUG